rnacentral:rRNA from 1 species
CCUACGGGAGGCAGCAGUAGGGAAUAUUGGGCAAUGGUCGAGAGACUGACCCAGCCAUGCCGCGUGCAGGAUGGAGGCUUUCUGAGUCGUAAACUGCUUUUAUCAGGGAAGAACAAGGCUCAUGCGUGGGCUGAUGACGGUACCUGAGGAAUAAGCACCGGCUAACUCCGUGCCAGCAGCCGCGGUAAUACGGAGGGUGCGAGCGUUGUCCGGAUUUAUUGGGUUUAAAGGGUGCGUAGGCGGCCUGAUAAGUCUGGGGUGAAAGCCCGCUGCUCAACAGCGGAACUGCCCUGGAUACUGUCAGGCUUGAGGACAGACGAGGUUGGCGGAAUAGAGAGUGUAGCGGUGAAAUGCAUAGAUACCCUCUAGAACCCCGAUUGCGAAGGCAGCUGACUAGACUGUAUCUGACGCUGAGGCACGAAAGCGUGGGGAGCGAACAGGAUUAGAUACCCUGGUAGUCCACGCCGUAAACGGUGGGUGCUAGGUGUGAGCGGUAUUCCACGCCGUUCGUGCCGCAGCUAACGCAUUAAGCACCCCGCCUGGGGAGUACGGCCGCAAGGCUAAAACUCAAAGGAAUUGACGGA